GCAACGAUGAAGAACGCAGCGAAAUGCGAUACCUAGUGUGAAUUGCAGAAUUCCGCGAAUCAUCGAGUUUUUGAACGCAAGUUGCGCCCGAGGCUCGUACCGAGGGCAUGUCUGUUUGAGCGUCCA
rnacentral:rRNA from 1 species